GGAGAGGUGGGUGAGUGGCUGAAACCAUCAGUUUGCUAAACUGACGUACUCCGUCAAGGGGUACCGGGGGUUCGAAUCCCCCCCUCUCCG
rnacentral:tRNA from 1 species